rnacentral:pre_miRNA from 1 species
ACAACAUUCGGACCGUCAGUUUAUCGAGCAAUAGCACACGCUCGGUGGAAGAUCUUCAUCUCCU